UACAGAGGGUGCGAGCGCUGUUCGGAAUUACUGGGCGUAAAGCGCGCGUAGGCGGCUUGUCAAGUCAGGGGUGAAAUCCCACAGCUUAACUGUGGAACUGCCCUUGAAACUGUCAAGCUAGAGUGUCGGAGGGGAUAGCGGAAUUGCUAAUGUAGAGGUGAAAUUCGUAGAUAUUAGCAGGAACACCGGUGGCGAAGGCGGCUAUCUGGACGACAACUGACGCUGAGGCGCGAAAGCGUGGGGAUCAAACAGG
rnacentral:rRNA from 1 species